ACAGGAAUUACCUGGAAACAAGGGCUCUUGUUCAAGUGCAGAUUCUGACUCCAUAGUUCUGAGGUGGGACCCAAGAAUCUACAUUGCUAACAAGCUCCCAGGGGAUUCUGAU
rnacentral:miRNA from 1 species